rnacentral:lncRNA from 1 species
AGCCAGAUAGCCUACCCUGUUAUGAUCUCUUUGUUAGCCCCCUUGAGCCUAUACUUCCUCCAUUUCUUUGUUUUGAAGCUCAUAUAAUAGCCUAAGUGAAAAACCAUGAUUACCUGCACCUUAGGGAAUUUUGGAGCUUUGGAAUUGUUUUGGGAAUAAGUGUGGUCUCUUAGGAGUUGCAGAUGAAUUGGCUAGUGAGUCCUCUUCUUGCGGUUGCAUUGUAAAUAUCAUGUAUCUUUGAAUUGUAUGUUGAAUAGAAAAAGAAAAGAGAAAAAAGAAAAAAAGAAAAAAAAAUACAGAAAAAAAAUUUGUGAAUAAUGGAGUCAAGAAGAGGAUGGAAUUAGAGGUUGUGGGUGUGUUUGAAGGUGUUUACACUCGUUCCCCAUUGCUCCUCUGUUCCUUUCAGUUAAUUCGUCUGUAUUCACCACAACCUUUUCAAACCCCCCCCCUUCGUGUUAGACUCGAUUCUCGAACCGCAAAAUUGGUCUUUGGGAGACGACCUAGGGGUCAUUCCCUAGCUAUACUGCAUUUCUCAUAUGCAAUCAAAUUUGUAUGGGCCGCGACACCUAUCACUCUAAUCCCUAGGGCCAAGUGUCUUAAAAAUAGGGUGGGGUCCACCCUAAAAGAAACCCUAGGGUGACAAGUGUCCUACAAUCUUUGGGUCCCUCAUAUUUUUAAUGGCCCAAUGUGCAAAAGUUUGUCCAAAAAGUUUAAACAAUUAAAUUACAAUAUAACUAAAAUUUAAAAUGUCUAAUUUGAGAGUCUUGAAUUAUUUUGUCUCCUU